GGCAGUGUGGUAUAGUGGUUUGAGUGCUGGACUACAACUCUGGAGAUCAGGGUUUGAAUCUCCACUCAGCCA